UACGGGGGGAGCAAGCGUUGUUCGGAAUUACUGGGCGUAAAGGGCUCGUAGGCGGCCAACUAAGUCAGACGUGAAAUCCCCAGGCUCAACCUGGGAACUGCGUCUGAUACUGGAUGGCUUGAAUUCGGGAGAGGGAUGCAGAAUUCCAGGUGUAGCGGUGAAAUGCGUAGAUAUCUGGAGGAAUACCGGUGGCGAAGGCGGCAUCCUGGACCGAGAUUGACGCUGAUGAGCGAAAGCUAGGGGAGCAAACGGG
rnacentral:rRNA from 1 species